rnacentral:rRNA from 1 species
GACGAACCGUGCUAACGUUGUUCGGAAUAACUGGGCUUAAAGGGCGCGUAGGCGGGGUGGAAAGUCAGGGGUGAAAGCCCGCAGCUCAACUGCGGAAGUGCCUUUGAUACUGCCAUUCUCGAGGGAGGCAGGGGAGUGCGGAACUUCCGGUGGAGCGGUGAAAUGCGUAGAUAUCGGAAGGAACACCGGUGGCGAAAGCGGCGCUCUGGACCUCUUCUGACGCUGAGGCGCGAAAGCUAGGGGAGCAAACGGG